GUUCCGAGUAAGUGAAAGCAGGAUAGGAUACACGCUCUCCUAUCGUGCCACUGAUUGCUGCAGGCCCUUCAGGAUCGACGUGCUGCAAGACCUGGUGAACUUCCACUGCAGGGUGCCUGUCAUGCCUUUCAAUGAGCUGCUGACUGUAGCUUGUGGACAGGUUAACCGUGCAAGGGAGUUGCAUUAGAUGCAGCUGGGGAUGCCGUACUCCACUAGACCACACAGAUUGGAUCCCCGCCUGUCCUUGAAGACCAGACGUUUUUUGGGUUCCACUGGGAGUUUGGUUGCACAGCUGAAACUUUGUGGCAAUGGAGAGUCGUUGAAAACACACAUGG